rnacentral:rRNA from 1 species
CGCAUCGGAUUCAGAGAUCAAGCGAAAGUGCUAAAUCACCCACCUGGGGAGUACGGGCGCAAGCCUGAAACUCAAAGGAAUUGACGGGGGCCCGCACAAGCGGUGGAUUAUGUGGUUUAAUUCGAUGAUACGCGAGGAACCUUACCAAGACUUAAAUGGGAAUUGACAGAUUUAGAGAUAGAUCUUUCUUCGGACAAUUUUCAAGGUGCUGCAUGGUUGUCGUCAGCUCGUGCCGUGAGGUGUUAGGUUAAGUCCUGCAACGAGCGCAACCCCUGUCACUAGUUGCUACCACUCAGUUGAGGACUCUAGUGAGACUGCCUACGCAAGUAGAGAGGAAGGUGGGGAUGACGUCAAACCAUCACGGCCCUUACGUCUUGGGCCACACACGUAAUACAAUGGCCGGUACAGAGGGCAGCUACACUGC